AGUGAACGCUGGCGGCGUGCCUAAUACAUGCAAGUCGAACGGAGUGGCGCACGGGUGAGUAAUAUAUAGCUAAUCUGCCCCUUGCUGGGGGUAAACAGUUAGAAAUGACUGCUAAUACUCCAUAGCAAGGGAUGAGACUAUAUCGUAUCAGCUAGUCGGUGGGGUAAUGGCCUACCGAGGCGAUGACGCGUAACUGGUCUGAGAGGAUGAUCAGUCGCAUUCGAACGGAGGCACGGUUCAGACUCCUACCGGAUGCAGCAGUAGCGAAUAUUGCGCAAGGGGGGUAUCCCUAACGCAGCAACGCCUUGUAGAGUAUGACCCGUUUCGGAGAGUAAACUCCUGUUGUUAUGGAAGCGGUACCUAACGAAGAAGCACCGGCUAACUCCGUGCCAGCAGCCGCGGUAAUUC
rnacentral:rRNA from 1 species